AUUGAACGCUGGCGGCAGGCUUAACACAUGCAAGUCGAGCGGUAACAGAGAGAAGCUUGCUUCUCUGCUGACGAGCGGCGGACGGGUGAGUAAUGCCUAGGAAUCUGCCUAGUAGUGGGGGAUAACUUGCCGAAAGGUAAGCUAAUACCGCAUACGUCCUACGGGAGAAAGGAGGGGACCUUCGGGCCUUUCGCUAUUAGAUGAGCCUAGGUCGGAUUAGUUUGUUGGUGAGGUAAUGGCUCACCAAGACCGCGAACCGGAACUGGUCUGAGAGGAUGAUCAGUCACACUGGAACUGAGACACGGUCCAGACUCCUACGGGAGGCAGCAGUGGGGAAUAUUGGAAAAUGGGGGGAACCCUGAUCCAGCCAUGCCGCGUGUGUGAAGAAGGUCUUAGGAUUGUAAGCACUUUAAGUUGGGAGGAAGAGCAGUUAACUAAUAUUUGACUGUUUUGACGUUACCGACAGAAUAAGCACCGGCUAACUUCGUGCCAGCAGCCGCAGUAA
rnacentral:rRNA from 1 species